rnacentral:rRNA from 1 species
GAUGAACGCUAGCUACAGGCUUAACACAUGCAAGUCGAACGGAAAGGCCCCUGCUUGCAGGGGUGCUCGAGUGGCGAACGGGUGAGUAACACGUGGGUGAUCUGCCCUUCACUUCGGGAUAAGCCUGGGAAACUGGGUCUAAUACCGGAUAGGACCAAUCUUUAGUGUGGUUGGUGGAAAGUUUUUUCGGUGGAGGAUGAGCCCGCGGCCUAUCAGCUUGUUGGUGGGGUAAUGGCCUACCAAGGCGACGACGGGUAGCCGGCCUGAGAGGGUGGACGGCCACAUUGGGACUGAGACACGGCCCAG